CAUCCGGAGGCCUAAUCAUGCAAGUCGAACGGUGUAGCAAUACACAGGGGCGCACGGGUGCGUAACAAGUAUGAAAAGCCUAUCAUUGGGGGAUAGCCUUUGGAAACGGAGAUUACUACCGAAUAAGACAGUAACAUGGCAUCAUGUAGCUGUUAAAGCUUCGGCGAUGAUAGAUGGGCAUGCGUCCAAUUAGUUAGUUGGUGAGGUAAUGGCUCACCAAGACGAUGAUUGGUAGGGGAUCUGAGAGGAUAAUCCCCCACACUGGCACUGAGAUACGGGCCAGACUCCUACGGGAGGCAGCAGUAGGGAAUAUUGGGCAAUGGACGGAAGUCUGACCCAGCCAUGCCGCGUGCAGGAUGAAGGCGUUAUGCGUUGUAAACUGCUUUUUUAUAGGAAGAAGGAGACCUUGCGAGGUUUGGUGACGGUACUAUAAGAAUAAGCACCGGCUAACUCCGUGCCAGCAGCCGCGGUAAUACGGAGGGUGCGAGCGUUGUCCGGAUUUAUUGGGUUUAAAGGGUGCGUAGGCGGUUUAUUAAGUCAGUGGUGAAAGACGGACGCUCAACAAUUGCCGUGCCAUUGAUACUGGUAGACUUGAGUUCCUAUGAGGUAGCUGGAAUGGAUAGUGUAGCGGUGAAAUGCAUAGAUAUUAUCCAGAACUCCAAUUGCGUAGGCAGGUUACUAAUACGAUACUGACGCUGAUGCACGAAAGUGUGGGGAUCAAACAGGAUUAGAUACCAUGGUAAA
rnacentral:rRNA from 1 species